rnacentral:rRNA from 1 species
AUAACGUACCCCCGAGACCGGGAUAACUUCGGGAAACCGAAGCUAAGACCGGAUGGGAUCACUGGAUCGCCUGGUUCGGUGAUUAAAGGAGGCCUCUGAAUAUGCUCCCGCUCGGGGAGCGAUCUAUGUCCUAUCAGCUAGUUGGUGAGGGUAAUGGCCCACCAAGGCAUUGACGGGUAGCCGGCCUUAGCGGGUGUCCGGCCACACUGGCACUGAGACACGGGCCAG